rnacentral:tRNA from 2 species
GGGAGUGUCGUCUAGUGGUAAGGCACCGGCUUCCAACACCGGUUACGUGGGUUCGAUUCCUACCGCUCCUGCCA